rnacentral:tRNA from 1 species
UCCCUGGUGGUCCAGUGGUUAAGACUCUGUGCUCCCAAGGCAAGGGGCACAGGUUUGAUUCCUGGUCAGGGAG